rnacentral:rRNA from 1 species
AGUAACGCGUGGGUAACCUGCCUCGUACAGGGGGAUAACAGUUAGAAAUGACUGCUAAUACCGCAUGAGCGCACAGUGCUGCAUGGCACAGUGUGAAAAACUCCGGUGGUAUGAGAUGGACCCGCGUCUGAUUAGCUAGUUGGUGGGGUAACGGCCUACCAAGGCGACGAUCAGUAGCCGGCCUGAGAGGGUGAACGGCCACAUUGGACUGAGACACGGCCCAA